GUUAAGCGACUAAGCGUACACGGUGGAUGCCCUGGCAGUCAGAGGCGAUGAAGGACGUGCUAAUCUGCGAUAAGCGUCGGUGAGGUGAUAUGAACCGUUAUAACCGGCGAUUUCCGAAUGGGGAAACCCAGUGUGUUUCGACACACUAUCAUUAACUGAAUCCAUAGGUUAAUGAGGCGAACCGGGGGAACUGAAACAUCUAAGUACCCCGAGGAAAAGAAAUCAACCGAGAUUCCCCCAGUAGCGGCGAGCGAACGGGGAGGAGCCCAGAGCCUGAAUCAGUGUGUGUGUUAGUGGAAGCGUCUGGAAAGGCGCGCGAUACAGGGU
rnacentral:rRNA from 1 species